GACGAACGCUGGCGGCGUGCUUAACACAUGCAAGUCGAACGGUGAACCUCUUCGGAGGGGAUCAGUGGCGAACGGGUGAGUAACACGUGGGCAACCUGCCCCCGGCUCUGGGAUAACUCCAAGAAAUUGGGGCUAAUACCGGAUGUUCACCGCUUCCCGCAUGGGUGGUGGUGGAAAGGGUUUCCGGCUGGGGAUGGGCCCGCGGCCUAUCAGCUUGUUGGUGGGGUAGUGGCCUACCAAGGCGACGACGGGUAGCCGGCCUGAGAGGGUGACCGGCCACACUGGGACUGAGACACGGCCCAGACUCCUACGGGAGGCAGCAGUGGGGAAUAUUGCGCAAUGGGCGGAAGCCUGACGCAGCGACGCCGCGUGGGGGAUGACGGCCUUCGGGUUGUAAACCUCUUUCAGCAGGGACGAAGCGCAAGUGGCGGUACCUGCAGAAGAAGCGCCGGCCAACUACGUG
rnacentral:rRNA from 1 species